rnacentral:rRNA from 1 species
UACGAGUGCCCCAAGCGUUAUCCGGAAUUAUUGGGCGUAAAGGUUGUGUAGGUGGUUUUGUUAGUCUCCUGUUAAAUUCUUCGGCUCAACCGGGGGUCUGCAGGGGAAACGGCAAGACUAGAGGAUGCGAGAGGUGAAUGGAACUCAUGGUGUAGGGGUGAAAUCCGUUGAUAUCAUGGGGAACACCAAAUGCGAAGGCAAUUCACUGGCGCACUUCCUGACACUGAAACAAGAAAGCGUGGGUAGCGAACAGG